GGCUAUAUCUUGAUUCUGUCCCGUGAAAUAUAAAUAUGGGAUAGAUUAAAACAGAUGAUUGAUAUACAGGUCGCUUGUAUCAGUGUUAAAAAAUAUGAAUAAAAGACAGAUUUUAAUGAAAUAAAUCAUUUACCGUUUGCCUUUAUUUUUUUUUUUACGCUUUGCUUGAGCGUUUGUACAGUGAACAAACAUCCAUACAAGUUGGGCAUAUUAGGUCAUCGACCAGCAAGUUAUGGUCACGUAACCAUUGAAAAACAACUGAAUUAUCUUGUCUAAAUAAGUUUGUAAAUGUCCAAAUGUUACGGAAAUCUUUAAACUGAAUAUCUAAUGGGUCACUCUUGCAUAUAUCAAAACAGCCC
rnacentral:lncRNA from 1 species